ACUGACAGCCAUGGUUACCGCGGCUGCUGGCACGGAGUUAGCCGGUGCUUCUUCUGUGAGUGAUGUCCUUCCUGCCGGCUAUUAACCCGCAGGCCUUCUUCCUCACUGAAAGUGCUUUACAACCCGAAGGCCUUCUUCACACACGCGGCAUGGCUGGAUCAGGGUUGCCCCCAUUGUCCAAUAUUCCCCACUGCUGCCUCCCGUAGGAGUCUGGGCCGUGUCUCAGUCCCAGUGUGGCUGAUCAUCCUCUCAGACCAGCUACGGAUCGUCGCCUUGGUGAGCCGUUACCCUCACCAACCAGCUAAUCCGACAUAGGCUCAUCCGAUAGCGCGAGGCCCGAAGGUCCCCCGCUUUCCCCCGUAGGGCGUAUGCGGUAUUAGCCUGGGUUUCCCCAGGUUAUCCCCCACUACCGGGCAGAUUCCUAUGCAUUACUCACCCGUCCGCCGCUCGCCACCAGGGAGCAAGCUCCCCGUGCUGCCGCUCGACUUGCAUGUGUUAGGCCUGCCGCCAGCGUUCAAU
rnacentral:rRNA from 1 species